UGCGCAGGCGGUCGUGUGUGUCAGGUGUGAAAUCCCGGAGCUUAACUCCGGAACUGCGCCUGAAACUACACGACUAGAGCAUUGGAGAGGGAAGUGGAAUUCAUGGUGUAGCAGUGAAAUGCGUAGAUAUCAUGAGGAACACCAGAGGCGAAGGCGACUUCCUGGACAAUUGCUGACGCUCAGGCACGAAAGCAUGGGGAGCAAAAGGGAUUAGAUACCCCUGUAGUCCAUGCCCUAAACGGUGCACACUAGGUCUUGGAGGAUUCGACCCCUUCAGGGCCCAAGCUAACGCGUUAAGUGUGCCGCCUGAGGACUACGGUCGCAAGACUAAA
rnacentral:rRNA from 1 species